CCUACGGGAGGCAGCAGUGGGGAAUUUUGCGCAAUGGGGGCAACCCUGACGCAGCAACGCCGCGUGAGUGAUGAAGGCCUUCGGGUCGUAAAGCUCUGUCAGAGGGGAAGAAUGCAGGUGGUGAACAACCAUUCUGUUUGACGGUACCCUCAAAGGAAGCACCGGCUAACUCCGUGCCAGCAGCCGCGGUAAUACGGAGGGUGCGAGCGUUGUUCGGAAUUAUUGGGCGUAAAGCGCGUGUAGGCGGUUUGUUAAGUCUGAGGUAAAAGCCCCGGGCUCAACCGGGGAAGUGCAUUGGAUACUGGCAGACUUGAGUACGGGAGAGGAGAGUGAAAUUCCCGGUGUAGGAGUGAAAUUCGUAGAUAUUGGGAGGAACACCGGUGGCGAAAGCGGCCUCCUGGACGGCUACUGACGCUGAGACGCGAAAGCGUGGGGAGCAAACAGGAUUAGAUACCCCGGUAGU
rnacentral:rRNA from 1 species